GGGCCUAUAGCUCAGUUGGCUAGAGCAUUGCUAUCGCACAGCAAAGGUCACCGGUUCAAGUCCGGUUAGGUCCA
rnacentral:tRNA from 1 species